GACGUAGGGCGCGAGCGUUGUCCGGAUUUAUUGGGCGUAAAGCGCGCGCAGGCGGCGAUCUACGUCUGGGGUGAAAGCCCGGAGCUCAACUCCGGGACUGCCUUGGGAUACGGGAUCGCUUGAGGAUUGGAGAGGCAAGGGGAAUUCCACGUGUAGCGGUGAAAUGCGUAGAGAUGUGGAGGAACACCUGUGGCGAAGGCGCCUUGCUGGCCAAUUACUGACGCUGAGGCGCGAAAAGCGUGGGGGAGCAAAACAGG
rnacentral:rRNA from 1 species